GAUUAGCUAGUUGGUAGGGUAAUAGCCCUACCAAGGCAACAAUCCGUAGCUGGUCUGAGAGGACGAUCAGCCACACUGGGACUGAGACACGGCCCAGACUCCUACGGGAGGCAGCAGUGGGGAAUAUUGGACAAUGGGGGAAACCCUGAUCCAGCAAUGCCGCGUGUGUGAAGAAGGCCUUCGGGUUGUAAAGCACUUUCGGUGGGAAAGAAAUUCUCAAAGCUAAUACCUUUGAGCGUUGACGUUACCCACAAAAGAAGCACUGGCUAACUCUGUGCCAGCAGCCGCGGUAAUACAGAGAGUGCAAGCGUUAAUCGGAAUCACUGGGCGUAAAGCGCGCGUAGGUGGAUAUUUAAGUCGAAUGUGAAAGCCCUAGGCUUAACCUAGGAACUGCAUCCGAUACUAAAUACCUCGAGUAUGGUAGAGGGAAGUGGAAUUUCCGGUGUAGCGGUGAAAUGCGUAGAUAUCGGAAAGAACACCAGUGGCGAAGGCGGCUUCCUAGACCAAUACUGACACUGAGGCGCGAAAGCGUGGGGAGCAAACAGGAUUAGAGACCCUGGUAGUCCACGCCGUCAACGAUGAGAACUAGCUGUUAAAAAGUUUACUUUCUAGUAGCAAAGCUAACGCGUUAAGUUCUCCGCCUGGGGAGUACGGC
rnacentral:rRNA from 1 species